UUUGCCCACAUCUAUGGCAGGCAUCGUCAGAGAUUGUGAGGUAUCUUGUACAUUGCUUUUACUGGUGUGAUAAAUGGAGUGAGGGUGAAUACAUUCUAUAUAUUGUUAAUCAACUCAUAUGUGCAAUUUUAUUUUGCCAGAGAUGAUAUAAAAUAAGUAAUGCCUCGCCAUUUUUUUCAACAGGUUAAAAAAUGUUUACUCAGAAUGUAUGUUUUACUUUAAUUACACUUGGGAUAAUGCUUAAGAUUGCAGUACUUCUUGUGUGUGCAUACCUUCAAGUCACUUCUCAAUUUAUUAAUUUCAUAGGGUUUUCUUAGGCACUGGUUUUACCAGUUCCUCCCAAGUACUGAUUUUGCUUAGCUUCCAAGGUCAGACAUAAAUAGAAAUCACUGCCUGCAUCCCCCAUAUGCUUGAGUGAAUUCCAAAGCUCUAUUUUAAAUUCAUUGGUCAUGUUUACCUUUAAUAAACAAUUAAAUUAAUAAAUCAUUAAUCUAACAUUUUCCUGAGCAAUUACAUUUGUUUUGUCCUUGGUUAGAAAAUCGAGGUAAUAGUUGUUGUGACUGCGCCUUCGGGGAUUAUGGUUGAUGGUGAUGGGAUUCGAAGAGGAAGAAAAAACCCUCGUGAUGAGGGUUCACUGGAGGAGUUGCGCAGGAAGCGACUUAGAGAGCUAUAUGGGGGAUCUUUUGAGGAAGAUUCAGAUGGGGAGUUUGGGGAAAUGGAUGCUGAGGAACAGGUGGUGGCUGGGGAAGUGGGCACUGAAUGGGCACAGCCACCGGAGAUGUCUGAGGAUUUGGGGCCUAUGGAUACUACUGAACCUGGGGUUUCUGCAGGAGCUGAUCCCACUUGGGAUGCUUGGAGAAGGGAGGAUGGUUCUUUAAGUGUUCAUGGGGCUAAGUGUGGGCAGGAUGAUUGGGACUCCGAUGAAUUGCUAGGUACUCCGGAUCCACGAACUCUAGCUGUGUGGAGUUCAGACUCUGAGUAGAUUUGGGACACCUGGUGUUUGGGUGUGAGUGUUUGGUCACCCAGGAGGAAGGGGAAUAAAAUGGGAAUGUUUGGCCAUUGCACUUUGCGUGUGGCAAGGUGUUGCUGAGGCGCCAUUGGGAUCUCUGUGUUUCCGUGAAGACUGGACUUGGACUGUGAUUCGGAUCUGCUGAUACCAUCUGGCUUGGCUCUCGCUGUGUCUUAUCGUGGACCUGGUUUGGAUGACUGCACCCUC